GACAGAGGUGCCAAGCGUUUAGGCGGAAUCACUGGGCUUAAAGCGUGUGUAGGCGGAAUCGUAAGUACCUUGUGAAAUCCCACGGCUCAACCGUGGAACUGCUUGGUAUACUGCUUUCUUGAGCCACUUAGGGGCUGUCGGAACAAACGGUGGAGCGGUGAAAUGCGCAGAUAUCAGGAGGAACACCGAUGGCGAAGGCAGGUCUCUGGGCCACUACUGACGCUGAGAAGCGAAAGCCGUGGGGAGCGAACAGG
rnacentral:rRNA from 1 species